AUCCCCACAACUUAGCCGUCAGGCCUCGGCCAACCAGCACGCUCCGAGCUCCAACGUUACCAUGGAUACAGCUCCUACCAUGCAGGAGGUAAAUGGACCACUUUGAUGGAUAAGACAAAGUGAGAAAGACUAACCAGAGCAGAAGCCACUUGUCCGGCCAUGAUGAAGAUUUGUUUCUCAGUGAUGUCACAUGGGUGCUCACUGUCUGUGCCCUGCCAAAGAGCACUAUGAGCACCAUACCUGUCGACACCGCCACAGGAACCCCAGCAGAUCCCUGUGCUCCAGUUCCUCCAUCACAAUGAUGA